UCCCGAUUAGUUCAGUUGGUAGAACACCGGACUGUUAAUCCGUAUGUCGCUGGUUCGAGUCCAGCAUCGGGAG
rfam:Hydrogenovibrio marinus strain MH-110 scaffold00001, whole genome shotgun sequence.